rnacentral:snoRNA from 1 species
CCCAUCGAUGACGAUGAGCUUGUCUCCUACAUCACCGCCGGCCUCGACAUGGAGUACCAACCCCUCUUCUCCGCCAACGACGCGCGCACCGACCCAUCAGCAUCGACGACCUCUACGCUCAGAUGAGCAACUUUGAUC